UGGGGAAUCUUGCACAAUGGGGGCAACCCUGAUGCAGCGACGCCGCGUGAGCGAUGAAGCCCUUCGGGGCGUAAAGCUCUUUCGACCGGAACGAUAAUGACGGUACCGGGAGAAGAAGCUGCGGCUAACUACGUGCCAGCAGCCGCGGUAAUACGUAGGCAGCAAGCGUUGUUCGGAGUUACUGGGCGUAAAGAGUAUGUAGGCGGUUCUCCAAGUCUGGUGUGAAAUCUCCCGGCUCAACCGGGAGGGUGCAUUGGGAACUGGGGGGCUGGAGUGCGGGAGAGGGAAGCGGAAUUCCUGGUGUAGCGGUGAAAUGCGUAGAUAUCAGGAGGAACACCUGCGGUGUAGACGGCUUCCUGGACCGUAACUGACGCUGAGAUACGAAAGCGUGGGGAGCAAACA
rnacentral:rRNA from 1 species